rnacentral:rRNA from 1 species
AGAGCUUGCUUUAAAGAAGUUAGCGGCGGACGGGUGAGUAACACGUGGGCAACCUGCCUGUAAGACUGGGAUAACUUCGGGAAACCGGAGCUAAUACCGGAUAAUAUAUAGUACCUCCUGGUACUAUAUUGAAAGUUGGUUUCGGCUAACACUUACAGAUGGGCCCGCGGCGCAUUAGCUAGUUGGUGAGGUAACGGCUCACCAAGGCAACGAUGCGUAGCCGACCUGAGAGGGUGAUCGGCCACACUGGGACUGAGACACGGCCCAGACUCCUACGGGAGGCAGCAGUAGGGAAUCUUCCACAAUGGACGAAAGUCUGAUGGAGCAACGCCGCGUGAGCGAUGAAGGCCUUCGGGUCGUAAAGCUCUGUUGUUAGGGAAGAACAAGUGCGAGAGUAACUGCUCGCACCUUGACGGUACCUAACCAGAAAGCCACGGCUAACUACGUGCCAGCAGCCGCGGUAAUACGUAGGUGGCAAGCGUUGUCCGGAAUUAUUGGGCGUAAAGCGCGCGCANGCGGUUUCUUAAGUCUGAUGUGAAAGCCCACGGCUCAACCGUGGAGGGUCAUUGGAAACUGGGAGAC